rnacentral:rRNA from 1 species
UGGGGAAUAUUGCACAAUGGGCGAAAGCCUGAUGCAGCAACGCCGCGUGAGUGAUGAAGGUCUUCGGAUUGAAGCUCUGUCUUUGGGACGAUAAUGACGGUACCAAAGGAGGAAGCCACGGCUAACUACGUGCCAGCAGCCGCGGUAAUACGUAGGUGGCGAGCGUUGUCCGGAUUUACUGGGCGUAAAGGGUGCGUAGGCGGAUGUUUAAGUGAGAUGUGAAAUACCCGGGCUUAACUUGGGUGCUGCAUU